rnacentral:rRNA from 1 species
UGACAAAGCAACGCCGCGUGGGUGAUGAAGUCUCUUGGGACGUAAAACCCUUUCGACGGGGAAGAAACCGCAAGGUUGACGGUACCCGUAAAAGAAGCCCCGGCUAACUCCGUGCCAGCAGCCGCGGUAAUACGGGGGGGGCAAGCGUUGUUCGGAAUUACUGGGCGUAAAGGGUGCGUAGGCGGUGCGCUAAGUCGGAUGUGAAAACUCUGGGCUCAACCCAGAGCCUGCAUCCGAAACUGGCGUGCUAGAGUUCUGGAGGGGGUAGCGGAAUUCCUGGUGUAGCGGUGAAAUGCGUAGAUAUCAGGAGGAACACCGGUGGCGAAGGCGGCUACCUGGACAGAAACUGACGCUGAGGCACGAAAGCUAGGGGAGCAAACAGGAUUAGAUACCCUGGUAGUCCUAGCCCUAAACGAUGGAUACUUGGUGUGACUGGGAUUGAAUCCAGUCGUGCCGAAGCUACGCAUUAAGUAUCCCGCCUGGGGAGUACGGUCGCAAGGCUGAAACUCAAAGGAAUUGA